GAUGAACGCUGGCGGCGUGCCUAAUACAUGCAAGUCGAGCGAACGGACGAGAAGCUUGCUUCUCUGAUGUUAGCGGCGGACGGGUGAGUAACACGUGGAUAACCUACCUAUAAGACUGGGAUAACUUCGGGAAACCGGAGCUAAUACCGGAUAAUAUUUUGAACCGCAUGGUUCAAAAGUGAAAGACGGUCUUGCUGUCACUUAUAGAUGGAUCCGCGCUGCAUUAGCUAGUUGGUAAGGUAACGGCUUACCAAGGCAACGAUGCAUAGCCGACCUGAGAGGGUGAUCUGCCACACUGGAACUGAGACACGGUCCAGACUCCUACGGGAGGCAGCAGUAUGGAAUCUUCCCCAAUGGGCGAAAGCCUGACGGAACCACCCCGCGUGAGUGAUUAAGGUCUUCCGAUCCUUAAACUCUGGUAUUAAGGAAGAACAUAUGUGUGAGUUACUGUGCCCCUCUUGACCGGUCCUUAUCAGAAAGCCCCGGGUUACUACGUGCCAGCCACCGCCGGAAUACUUAAGUGGCAAGCCUUAUCCGGAAUUAAUGGGCGUAAAACGCGCGUACGGCGGUUUUUUAGUCUGAUGUGAAAGCCCACGGCUCAACCGUGGAGGGUCAUUGGAAACUGGAAAACUUGAGUGCAGAAGAGGAAAGUGGAAUUCCAUGUGUAGCGGUGAAAUGCGCAGAGAUAUGGAGGAACACCAGUGGCGAAGGCGACUUUCUGGUCUGUAACUGACGCUGAUGUGCGAAAGCGUGGGGAUCAAACAGGAUUAGAUACCCUGGUAGUCCACGCCGUAAACGAUGAGUGCUAAGUGUUAGGGGGUUUCCGCCCCUUAGUGCUGCAGCUAACGCAUUAAGCACUCCGCCUGGGGAGUACGACCGCAAGGUUGAAACUCAAAGGAAUUGACGGGGGCCCGCACAAGCGGUGGAGCAUGUGGUUUAAUUCGAAGCAACGCGGAGAACCUUACCAAAUCUUGACAUCCUUUGACAACUCUUGAGAUAGAGCUUUCCCCUUCGGGGGACAAAGUGACAGGUGGUGCAUGGUUGUCGUCAGCUCGUGUCGUGAGAUGUUGGGUUAAGUCCCGCAACGAGCGCAACCCUUAAGCUUAGUUGCCAUCAUUAAGUUGGGCACUCUAAGUUGACUGCCGGUGACAAACCGGAGGAAGGUGGGGAUGACGUCAAAUCAUCAUGCCCCUUAUGAUUUGGGCUACACACGUGCUACAAUGGACAAUACAAAGGGCAGCGAAACCGUGAGGUCAAGCAAAUCCCAUAAAGUUGUUCUCAGUUCGGAUUGUAGUCUGCAACUCGACUACAUGAAGCUGGAAUCGCUAGUAAUCGUAGAUCAGCAUGCUACGGUGAAUACGUUCCCGGGUCU
rnacentral:rRNA from 1 species